rnacentral:lncRNA from 1 species
UGCCGCCCACACGAACGCCAGCUUACUUCUGAUACCCUCAUUUCCUCCCACGUCUAAUGUUCACCUCACCAGGCCUUGUCUGCUUUGUUCUCAGAGUUUAGAAUCAUUUUUUUUGUUUUGAACAAAGCCACUGUAACUUAUUAAGGUAGUCCCAUGAGAACACAUAAGGAGAUAUGCAGUAUAUGUUUAAUUCAGGGGUAACAUCGACUUGGAGUAGAAAGGGAAGGUUUCAUGGAAGAAAGAGAAUUUGAAAUGGGCCUGGAAAGACAAGUGGGUUUGUACAGAGCAUUUCAAGUAGAGGACGUGAGGAGACAAAGUCACAGGAGUAAGAUCCAAUAUGGCGGCAGACAAUCGACCAGGACUGAACGUGAACUACAGAAGCUCCUCGACAACACACCUACAGAUGGUCACCAGCGAUGCAGUAAAGAGGCUUUUCACCAUCACUUGGGCGAGUGGAAAGAAGGGGGUGGGCAGGAAGAGAAGGAUGGAAGGUGGAGACCCCUAGGAACACAAAGCAACCAAAUGUCACUCCUGGGGCACCCAGCCAAAUGCAGUGGCCUAUCAGGGAACUGACGGUGAGCGUUGGGAAGGGCCCUGGGGACAUUUUUCCUGCCUUGUCCCCCUCUCUGCUAGCACUAGCCACAGAAGGGAUAAUGAAAUAUUAAUUCUAUCUGAUCUGGGGCCACCCAAGCAGGAUCAUGUUACAUGAUACUUUAAUGACCACAAUUCAGGCAACACAGCCUGGCUGUGAAGGAGGAACUCCUCUCCCAGCCCAAAUCCAAAAGGUGCUCACGUUACAGGAAGGAGCAGGAAGUGGGGCCCAGAAACGGAUCAUGGGACCCCAUGGAUGCCCCCAGGACCCCUGAGAUCCUGCUCAGUCCAUUCGAAAUAGGAAGACAUCCACUACUUUCCACGUUUUUCCUCAUCGCCACUAAGGAAACAGAAGGGAUGUUUACCUAGAGUUGCAGUCAUUGCCAGGGACACAGAGGGUGUGCAGUGAGCACCCAGCACUGCUGACCCAGGCUGCUAACCAGCUAGGCAGCACUCCAGGUGACAUGUGGCAGAAGGGCCUUUCUGAGACUUUUCCCAGCCGGGGCACGCAGAGGAGAAGAGCCAGGGAUGACGGAGCAGACCAGAGGACCACUUGCGGUUGAUUCCCAGCAGGAUCAGAGCAAUACAAUAUAGAUUCUGGCUACCCAAGGCUGCCCAACGAUUUCUGCCCAGAGUGGCACUAUAUCACUUCCAAGUUCCCUUCUCACUGGAAGAGCCUCUGGCUCUAUAACACUGGCCUGAGAGAAACAAACCACUGGUCCAUCAACUUUGACCUCUAACAAGCAACUCAGAGCUUUUCCGUCUUUCAGCAUCCCUAAAACAAAGACCUUUCCCUGGGACAUUUGGAAUGCGCAUCUGUAAAAUGGGAAUGGGCUUGUCCAAGGUGACUGGUCCUGACCCUCGAGGUCAGGACACAUCAAAAAUUUCAUUUUCUACAUCAGAGGAUUCCAAACACUUGGAGGCCUACAUAACUUAGAAUUCCAUCUGGCUGGUCUUCUUAUAAAUAGGGUUUAUGUGCUGAGCAUUUAUGCUAAGCACUUUAUUUAAUACUAACAUUGACUCUCUGAGGAAGGCACUAUUAACCUCCUUUUAUAUAUAAGGAAGCUCAGACUCAGAGAAAUUAAGUGACUUGCCAAAGGCCAACAGCCAGUGACGGAUAGAAGUAAGAACUGAAUCUAGGCUGGCCCUAACCCCGGUAUUCUUCUGCAGAGACCACCUACCUUUGUGGGGAAAUGCCUUUUCUUGCAGAAGUUGCUGGAAGCUCACUGAGGGAAGGGGUCGCAUUUCACCAAAUCCAGUGAAAUCAGGAGCUCUGUGUUCAUCCCUGCCUCCACCUCUCACCAGCUCUGUGAGCCUGACCUGUGAUUUGACCUGUCUGAGCAAGGAAGCCAUGUGAUUUACAGUCCAGACCAGGAUGUAUCUGAGAAUGAGAGGAAGCACUAAUCAGACAGGACACUGGGAGAACAGACAAACCGGGACUGUCCUAUGAAAAUGGAGACAUGGUCACAAAGCCUCGCACACUCAGUUGCAAAAUGAGGAGUUUGGAUGAAACCUCAAGGUCAUCUCCUUGUGAAAAAGGGAAGGUAUAUGCAUCUGGACAGCUCACCAGGAAUACAAAACGGGGACUGUGGAAGGCCAAAUGAGUACACAGAAAGCAAAUGUUUUAGCAGGAGUGCAUUUGUUCAUGUAUUGCUUAAAUUCUGAAAAACAUGACAAAACACUUAAAAGAAAAGUCACUUCUAAUUUUCUAAUCUCACUGACUAUAACUCCCUUGGAGUUUAGUGCAUUUUCUCUCCUCAUUUUUACUUAUGUUUAAGAGAACACCGUUAGAUAUAAACAUACAUCUCUUUUUAAUCAAAAGAGAGUAAUAGUGUUCCACGCAUCAGCCUGCAAUAUGCUUUUCCUCAUGUCAGCUUUGCCUAGUAAGGUGAUAGCUGUAUUAUAUUCCACUGCAUGGAUGAAAUCAUACAUCUGACCAUUUCCCCUAUUUCCAAACAUUUAAAUUGUAACCAACUCUUUCACAAACCAACUAUUAACAAUGUCAUUAGAGCCUGGGCAUGGUGACUCAUGCCUGUAAUCUCAGGACUUUGGGAGGCCAUGGCAGAAGGAUCAUUUGAAGCCAAGGGUUUGAGACCAGCCUGGGCAACAAAGCAAAACCCCAUCACUAUAAAAGAAAAGUCAUUAUACAUAUAUCCUUAAACAUAUACAAUAUUGCUGAUAUUAUCUUAUGCUUAGGUGCUGGAUAAGAGCAUUUUCAAUUCUUACAGACCCAACUACACUACUCACCCAAAAGACUGUACCAAUUUACAUUCCCAUUCCCAUUCCCACUGACACUAUAUGAGUCUGCCCAUUUCCUCACACACUUAUCAGCAUCAAGUUGUUUUCAUUUUUCGCAAUCUGCUAGUUGAAAAUAUAUAUAUAAUAUUGUUUAAUUUACAUUUCUUUAAUAACUAGUGAGGUUGAGUAUCUUCUCAAAUGUCUCUCAGCACUGGUAUGUAUUCUGUAAAUUACCUGUUCAUACUUUUGCUCAUUUUGCUACAGGUUGUUGAUCUUUUGCUUUCUGCUUUUUAAGACCUCUUUGUAUACUAAGAAUAUUAAUCCUUUAUAUGGUAUGCCAAUGUCUCCUUCCAGUUGGUCAUUUGUCUUUUACAUGUGUUUGGGUUGUCUUUUGUUAUAUAGAAAAGUUUUGCCUUUAUUGA